rnacentral:rRNA from 1 species
UGGUGGCGAGUGGCGGACGGGUGAGUAACGUAUCGGAACGUACCCAGUCGUGGGGGAUAACUAUCCGAAAGGAUAGCUAAUACCGCAUACGACCUGAGGGUGAAAGCGGGGGAUCGCAAGACCUCGCGCGAUUGGAGCGGCCGAUAUCUGAUUAGGUAGUUGGUAGGGUAAAGGCCUACCAAGCCGACGAUCAGUAGCUGGUCUGAGAGGACGAUCAGCCACACUGGAACUGAGACACGGUCCAGACUCC